rnacentral:rRNA from 1 species
GAUGAACGCUGGCGGCGUGCCUAAUACAUGCAAGUCGAGCGAAUGGAUUAAGAGCUUGCUCUUAUGAAGUUAGCGGCGGACGGGUGAGUAACACGUGGGUAACCUGCCCAUAAGACUGGGAUAACUCCGGGAAACCGGGGCUAAUACCGGAUAACAUCUUGAACCGCAUGGUUCGAAAUUGAAAGGCGGCUUCGGCUGUCACUUAUGGAUGGACCCGGGUCGCAUUAGCUAGUUGGUGAGGUAACGGCUCACCAAGGCAACGGUGCGUAGCCGAACUGAGAGGGUGAUCGGCCACACUGGGACUGAGACACGGCCCAGACUCCUACGGGAGGCAGCAGGAGGGAAUCUUCCGCAAAGGACGAAAGUCUGACGGAGCAACGCCGCGUGAGUGAUGAAGGCUUUCGGGUCGUAAAACUCUGUUGUUAGGGAAGAACAAGUGCUAGUUGAAUAAGCUGGCACCUUGACGGUACCUAACCAGAAAGCCACGGCUAACUACGUGCCAGCCGCCGCGGUAA